GCUAUAUAGCUGAUUACCUCACUAUUUCCAUUAGCUAAUUUUACAAUUUUUUCCUUUGUCAUCUUGUCUUUGGAGCAAGUCUUUGUGCCCUUUAGGGUUUUGUUUUUUAUGGAAGGUAGUUGAUGCGGUUGUUGGUGUAGUUGGUCUUUAAUGGCCAUCGAGCAGGAAUACUGCACAGAAGAAUUGAAGUAGGUAUUUUGACCUAAUUGCAUCUGUAAAGAAAGAAAGAAAGAAAGAAAGGAAAUAGCACAAUUAAUCUGUGUACUGAUGUAUUGAUGGUGCUGUUGUGGGCGCAUUUAAAACAAAAGAAAGUGUACCUGGAUAUGAUGAUGCCAUUUCGCUUGCUUGAGAAACUUAUUAAGGAGAGAAUGCGUAAAGUCAAAAGCUGCAUUGGGCAGGCAUGCAGAGUUUCAUCAAAGUAGGGUGCAUGUUUUAGUAGCAUGGAUGGAAACAUGUUUGGCACACAGGGAAAAAGAAAAGAAAAUCAAAGGAAGGAGAGGAGAUCACAAUUUUGAGCUCUCAGUUAUCAACUUUUAGCACUAGCAUCACAAUUCAUGACUUGGGUUGCUACUUCAUCUUCUAUGUACUUUUCAAGAUUUGAAAUGACUAGAUUGUUCACAAUUGUUGUCCCCUUUUUAAUUCAAUGAGAAUAAUUUUGUCAGUUCAUGUCAUAAAAACACAAUCAUACCCAACUUAAGUGUGCAAAAUGAAUAGUAAUUGGUGAUUCAUGUGUAGGAUAUGUAAUUUACCUUAAAAAGAUGUUUGUCAGCUGCUCCUAAAUGAUUUUUUCUUUUCUAA